GACGAACGCUGGCGGCGUGCUUAACACAUGCAAGUCGAACGGAAAGUCCCUGCUUUUGUGGGGUGCUCGAGUGGCGAACGGGUGAGGAACACGUGAGUAACCUGCCCUUGACUUUGGGAUAACUUCAGGAAACUGGGGCUAAUACCGGAUAGGAGCUCCUGCUGCAUGGUGGGGGCUGGAAAGUUUCGGUGGUUGGGGAUGGACUCGCGGCUUAUCAGCUUGUUGGUGGGGUUGUGGCUUACCAAGGCUUUGACGGGUAGCCGGCCUGAGAGGGUGACCGGCCACAUUGGGACUGAGCUACGGCCCAGACUCCUACGGGAGGCAGCAGUGGGGAAUGUUGCACAAUGGGCGGAAGCCUGAUGCGGCAACGCCGCGUGCGGGAUGACGGCCUUCUGGUUGUAUACCGCUUUCGUCUGUGCCGAAGCGUGAGUGACGGUAAUGGGUAAAGAAGCACCGGCUAACUACGUG
rnacentral:rRNA from 1 species